rnacentral:rRNA from 1 species
UACGUAGGGUGCGAGCGUUUGUCCGGAUUUAUUGGGGCGUAAAGGGCUCGUAGGCGGUUUGUCGCGUCUGCCGUGAAAGUCCGGGGCUCAACUCCGGAUCUGCGGUGGGUACGGGCAGACUAGAGUGCAGUAGGGGAGACUGGAAUUCCUGGUGUAGCGGUGAAAUGCGCAGAUAUCAGGAGGAACACCGAUGGCGAAGGCAGGUCUCUGGGCUGUAACUGACGCUGAGGAGCGAAAGCAUGGGGAGCGAACAGG